GUGGGAAGGGAGUGUUUCUGGAUCAGUGCAACUGCCGUCCAGGAGCCGGUUUUGGCAGCUUUGGCACAGGGCUUCCCUGCAAGGCUGCUGGCCUCUCUCCUCUGCUUCAUUGUGUGGCGGGAGCAGAGGUCAGGGCAGAGGAUGAGAGAGGAGGUUUAGAGGAGCGGAUGGAGCCCAGAUGCCCUAGGAGUAAGAAGGUUCCAUUUCCCUGGAGAACCCUGACUAGUACAAGCAGACUGUGGUGCUUCACAGCCUCUGAAGCCUGUCUCUGCGCUCACAUGAAGAUGUUCCCUUGGUACAUUAAGACAUCACUGUUUGUCUCUUUUGCCUCUGCUUCCACUUGACUGGGAACUCCGGGAUGGCAGGUGCCACAUCUAUAGGUCACAGCUACAUCUUCUGUGCCUGGAACUGUGUCACGUACCAGGUACGCUGUCAGCCGAGGGA